CCGGAUACGUCCUUCGGGGGAAAGUUCACGCCGAGAGAGGGGCCCGCGUCGGAUUAGGUAGUUGGUGUGGUAACGGCGCACCAAGCCGACGAUCCGUAGCUGGUCUGAGAGGAUGAUCAGCCACACUGGGACUGAGACACGGCCCAGACUCCUACGGGAGGCAGCAGUGGGGAAUAUUGGACAAUGGGCGCAAGCCUGAUCCAGCAAUGCCGCGUGAGUGAUGAAGGCCUUAGGGUUGUAAAGCUCUUUCGCACGCGACGAUGAUGACGGUAGCGUGAGAAGAAGCCCCGGCUAACUUCGUGCCAGCAGCCGCGGUAAUACGAAGGGGGCUAGCGUUGUUCGGAAUUACUG
rnacentral:rRNA from 1 species